UUGGAGGGCAAGUCUGGUGCCAGCAGCCGCGGUAAUUCCAGCUCCAAUAGCGUAUAUUAAAGUUGUUGCAGUUAAAAAGCUCGUAGUUGAAUUUCGGGGUCAGUAGAUUGGUCAUGCCACUGGUAUGUACUGGCCUCACUGAUUCCUCCUUCCUGAUGAGCCGUAAUGCCAUUAAUUUGGUGUUGCGAGGAUUCUGGACUGUUACUUUGAAAAAAUUAGAGUGUUUAAAGCAGGC
rnacentral:rRNA from 1 species